GAUGAAGAACGUAGCGAAAUGCGAUAAGUAAUGUGAAUUGCAGAAUUCAGUGAAUCAUCGAAUCUUUGAACGCACCUUGCGCCCUUUGGCCAUUCCGAAGGGCAUGCCUGUUUGAGUAUCAUGAACACCUCAACUCUCAUGGCUCGCCAUGAUGAGCUUGGAUUUGGGGGUCUUGCUAGCCUGUGGUCGGCUCCUCUCAAAUGGAUCAGCUUGCCAGUGUUUGGUGGCAUCACAGGUGUGAUAACUAUCUGCGCUUGUGGUUUUCCAUCAGAUAACCUUCAGUGAUGGAGGUUCGCUGGAGCUCAUAAACGUCUCCCCUAAGCGGGGACAGCCCUUUGAAUGUUUGAUCUCAAAUCAGGUAGGACUACCCGCUGAACUUAAGCAUAUCAAUAAGCGGAGGA
rnacentral:misc_RNA from 1 species